GAGUUUGAUCCUGGCUCAGAACGAACGCUGGCGGCGUGCCUAACACAUGCAAGUCGAACGUGAUCCAGAGCUUGCUCUGGUGAAAGUGGCGCACGGGUGAGUAACGCGUGGAUAACCUACCCUGGUAUCCGGGAUAACAUUCCGAAAGGGGUGCUAAUACCGGAUAAGCCCACGGGCUCUUUGGAGCUUGCGGGAAAAGGUGGCCUCUAUUUAUAAGCUACUGUAUCAGGAUGGGUCCGCGUACCAUUAGCUAGUUGGCGGUGUAACGGACCACCAAGGCGACGAUGGUUAGCUGGUCUGAGAGGAUGAUCAGCCACACUGGAACUGAGACACGGUCCAGACUCCUACGGGGGGCAGCAGUGGGGAAUUUUGCGCAAUGGGGGAAACCCUGACGCAGCAACGCCGCGUGAGUGAUGAAGGCCUUUGGGUCGUAAAGCUCAGUCAGAGGGGAAGAAAUGAUAUAGUGCUAAUACCACUUUAUCUUGACGGUACCCUCAAAGGAAGCACCGGCUAACUCCGUGCCAGCAGCCGCGGUAAUAC
rnacentral:rRNA from 1 species